AGUGAACGCUGGCGGUAGGCCUAACACGUGCAAGUCGAACGGCAGCACAGGAGAGCUUGCUCUCUGGGUGGCGAGUGGCGGACGGGUGAGGAAUACAUCGGAAUCUACUUUUUCGUGGGGGAUAACGUAGGGAAACUUACGCUAAUACCGCAUACGACCUACGGGUGAAAGCAGGGGACCUUCGGGCCUUGCGCGAUUGAAUGAGCCGAUGUCGGAUUAGCUAGUUGGCGGGGUAAAGGCCCACCAAGGCGACGAUCCGUAGCUGGUCUGGGAGGAUGAUCAGCCACACUGGAACUGAGACACGGUCCAGACUCCUACGGGAGGCAGCAGUGGGGAAUAGUGGACAAUGGGCGCAAGCCUGAUCCAGCCAUACCGCGUGGGUGAAGAAGGCCUUCGGGUUGUAAAGCCCUUUUGUUGGGAAAGAAAUCCAGCUGGCUAAUACCCGGUUGGGAUGACGGUACCCAAAGAAUAAGCACCGGCUAACUUCGUGCCAGCCGCCGCGGUAA
rnacentral:rRNA from 1 species